rnacentral:rRNA from 1 species
GACGUAGGGCGCGAGCGUUGUCCGGAUUUAUUGGGCGUAAAGAGCUCGUAGGCGGCUUGUCGCGUCGUCCGUGAAAACCUGCAGCUCAACUGCAGGCUUGCGGUCGAUACGGGCAGGCUAGAGUUCGGUAGGGGAGACUGGAAUUCCUGGUGUAGCGGUGAAAAUGCGCAGAUAUCAGGAGGAACACCGGUGGCGAAGGCGGGGUCUCUGGGGCCGAUACUGACGU